rnacentral:rRNA from 1 species
AACGAACGCUGGCGGCAUGCCUAACACAUGCAAGUCGAACGAGACCUUCGGGUCUAGUGGCGCACGGGUGCGUAACGCGUGGGAGCCUGCCCUUAGGUUCGGAAUAACUCCCCGAAAGGGGUGCUAAUACCGGAUAAUGUCUUCGGACCAAAGAUUUAUCGCCUUUGGAUGGGCCCGCGUUGGAUUAGCUAGUUGGUAGGGUAAAAGCCUACCAAGGCGACGAUCCAUAGCUGGUCUGAGAGGAUGAUCAGCCACACUGGGACUGAGACACGGCCCAGACUCCUACGGGAGGCAGCAGUGGGGAAUAUUGGACAAUGGGCGAAGGCCUGAUCCAGCAAUGCCGCGUGAGUGAUGAAGGCCUUAGGGUUGUAAAGCUCUUUUACCCGGGAUGAUAAUGACAGUACCGGGAGAAUAAGCGCCGGCUAACUCCGUG